AUUAUCUGAGGUGGUAAAUUUCGUUGCAACCACGCACCCUCUGGGUCAAAAGAAAUGCAGGAGAGGCGACGCCUGCCAGAUAAU
rfam:Clostridium hathewayi WAL-18680 genomic scaffold supercont1.1, whole genome shotgun sequence.